rnacentral:tmRNA from 2 species
GGGGAUGAACUGGUUUCGAUUGCUUGUGGCGUUCAUUGUAAGCAUACCGAAGGAUUCGGCUUCGUUAAAACGAUACCUUUAAAUUUAAACGCAGACAAUAAUCGUCUCGCUUACGCUGCUUAAUUAGCGUAUGUUCUCCGCUUGUUUCCUGUCGGCAGGCGGCGGGCAUCAUUUUCAGACAGGGAACGGCUGUACGCGUUUUGACCGUGACGCGUGCGCUGUAUUCAGCGGUCCACGGCCGCGCGCGUCUGUUUGCCUUUCACGCGCGGCAAGGGUCAAAGACAAACUAAGUAUGUAGAAAGCGUGAAUAAAACAGGUAAGACGCGGGUUCAAAUCCCGCCAUCUCCACCA